GCGGAGGGAUCAUUACCGAGUUUACAACUCCCAAACCCAAUGUGAACGUUACCAAACUGUUGCCUCGGCGGGGUCACGCCCCGGGUGCGUCGCAGCCCCGGAACCAGGCGCCCGCCGGAGGAACCAACCAAACUCUUUCUGUAGUCCCCUCGCGGACGUAUUUCUUACAGCUCUGAGCAAAAAUUCAAAAUGAAUCAAAACUUUCAACAACGGAUCUCUUGGUUCUGGCAUCGAUGAAGAACGCAGCGAAAUGCGAUAAGUAAUGUGAAUUGCAGAAUUCAGUGAAUCAUCGAAUCUUUGAACGCACAUUGCGCCCGCCAGUAUUCUGGCGGGCAUGCCUGUCCGAGCGUCAUUUCAACCCUCGAACCCCUCCGGGGGAUCGGCGUUGGGGAUCGGGACCCCUCACACGGGUGCCGGCCCCGAAAUACAGUGGCGGUCUCGCCGCAGCCUCUCCUGCGCAGUAGUUUGCACAACUCGCACCGGGAGCGCGGCGCGUCCACGUCCGUAAAACACCCAACUUCUGAAAUGUUGACCU
rnacentral:rRNA from 1 species